ensembl:lncRNA
CCACCUUCGAAUCACCCUGGAUCCACCGGGGCUGGACCCCAGCAACCAUGAAGGAAUUCAAAACCCUUGAGACAGACAAUCCUUGCUGAUCUAAUCACCACUCAACAAAUACCUUUUGUUGGAACAGAGAAGACAGGUUGUUGGACUGUUUCUGAUUUGAGGUUGUGAAGACUGGAUAUGGUGAAAUGACAAACAGCAAGAGAGGUGAAAGUAUUGACAAGAGAGCUGAAUUUGCAUACCCUAAUAUACCAUAUGCCUAGGCUAGAUAAUAAUAUUAGAAGGGUGUUAAUACUUUGCAAGAAGAUGGAGCGUCAAAGAUUCUUAAGUAUCAACAAGAAACAAAGAAGCAUAAAAAUGUAGAGAACUAAUAAAACAGGAAAUUACUGUAAAAGAAUAAGACUGGAAGUUUAAGAUUUCAGAUAUGGACAGUUCAAUUUUCAUAUAUGACCAGAGGAAAUGCUUUUGGAUCUGGAGGGCAUAAAACAUCACUGAACUUGAGAACAUUGGGGUGGGUCAUUGAUACUCAAGUUUCCAGAAUGAUGACAAGACUUAAGGGUAUAGACAAAAUACUAAUUCAAGUAUCAAAAUUCUAAAUUGUAUUGGCGUAGGGAACCAGGACUACAGAAAUAACCACUUUCUCUUUCUCUUCCAUGUUCCUGCCUUGGCCUAUGAGAUGAAACAUUUGACCUCUCAGAAAUAUUGGGAAAGAGGCACCUGUCUUUUCUUCAUUUCUCACUAGUAUUUAUCUGGAAAUAUGAUGAGCCUUAUAUCACAGAGCCUACGUUUGUCUUUUG